ensembl:snRNA U6 U6 spliceosomal RNA
UUGCUCAUCUUGGCAGCACAUAUACUAAAGCUGGAACAAUACAGAGAAGAUUAACAUGGUCCCUGCACAAAGAUGACAUGAAAAUUCUAUAUUUUU